GCCUUCUUAGCUCAGUGGUAGAGCGCUGGUCUCGUAAAUGUGUGAAGAAAACCAGAGGUCGAGAGUUCAACCCUCUCAGGAGGCA
rfam:Daphnia pulex DAPPTscaffold_4_Cont307, whole genome shotgun sequence.